AUGUCUCGUCUCAUCCCCCGGCGGCUCCACCGCGCCGUCUCCGCCGGCGGCGCGACCUCCUCGAGCCCCUCAAAUCUCCGCAGCAGCGACGCCACCACCGCCGCCACCUCAAAUGCGAUCGUCAGCCUCGUCGCGGCAGGCGGCGACGGCGGCAGCCUGGAGGCGGACCUGGACCGCCUCGGCCCGCCCCUCUCCGACGCCGCCGUGUCGGCGGCGCUCCGCGCGCUCACGGACCGCGGCGUCCCCGCGUUCCGCUUCUUCGCAUGGCUCUCCCGGCACAGGGGCGUCCCCCCGAGCGCCCGCGCCCACAACCUGCUCGUCCAGAACGCCGGCAGGCUGGCCGACUACCCCACCAUGGCCCGCGCCCUCGACCUAGUGUCGGCGCGACGGCUCCCCCUUACCGAGCAGGCGUUCUUGUUCCUGGAGGCCGCCGCGAGGUCGUCCUCAUCUGCGAGCAGCGUGGAUGACGCGGUGAGGGCGACUCUGACGGUUUUGGAUGGUGCCGGUGGCCCGUGCCGCGCGUCCGGCGUGUUCUCGCUGGUCAAGGCGUUGGCCUCGAUCGGCGAGUUCGACGCGGCCGUCUGGGUGAUCGAGGAGACGGCCAGGAGAGCGAGCUACUACAACGUCCUCUUGGCUGCCAAGUGCAAGGCUGGUGACUUCCGGGGCGCCCGCGAGGUGUUCGACGGAAUGAGGAAGGGGAGCUGCGGCCCAAAUGCCAACUCCUGGAACUACCUCCUCGGGUGCCUGCUGAAGAAUGGCAGGGCCACCGAAGCAUGCGACCUCGUUGAGACCAUGGAGAGGUCGGGACACGACGACAUCCCAAACUCACUGUCGUACGAGAUCCUCACAUACCAUGCCUGCAAGGCGGGGAAGAUGGAUUCGGCAAGGCAGAUUCUCGAUCAGUUGUUCUCAGAAAAUCUGACGCCGAGGAUUACAAUCCACACAGCCUUCAUCAAAGGGUACUUCUAUACUGGGAGAAUCAAAGAUGCUUGCGAUUAUGUGAGGGCUAUGAGCACCAGGGAUUCACACUCCACCAACAGGAACUACAGCCUGCUCGCCAAGCUGUUGCACAGGUCGGGGAGGAUCGUCGAGGCUGGAAGUGUCCUGUAUGAGUUGAUGGAGAAGGGCCUCAGGCCUGACCAUUCUGCUUAUGUUACAGUGUCCAAAGGUUUGCACAAGAUGGGAAGGGGAGAUCUGUGUGCUGAAUUGAAGUCCUUGUUUCAGAAUUUCAUUGUACAGUCAGGUAGCUGGUAG
rnacentral:rRNA from 1 species